AGUGAACGCUGGCGGUAGGCCUAACACAUGCAAGUCGAACGGCAGCACAGUAAGAGCUUGCUCUUACGGGUGGCGAGUGGCGGACGGGUGAGGAAUACAUCGGAAUCUACUUUUUCGUGGGGGAUAACGUAGGGAAACUUACGCUAAUACCGCAUACGACCUACGGGUGAAAGCAGGGGAUCUUCGGACCUUGCGCGAUUGAAUGAGCCGAGGUCGGAUUAGCUGGUUGGCGGGGUAAAGGCCCACCAAGGCGACGAUCCGUAGCUGGUCUGAGAGGAUGAUCAGCCACACUGGAACUGAGACACGGUCCAGACUCCUACGGGAGGCAGCAGUGGGGAAUAUUGGACAAUGGGCGCAAGCCUGAUCCAGCCAUACCGCGUGGGUGAAGAAGGCCUUCGGGUUGUAAAGCCCUUUUGUUGGGAAAGAAAAGCAGCAGGUUAAUACCCCGCUGUUCUGACGGUACCCAAAGAAUAAGCACCGGCUAACUUCGUG
rnacentral:rRNA from 1 species